rnacentral:rRNA from 1 species
UACGAAGGGGGCUAGCGUUGUUCGGAAUUACUGGGCGUAACGCGCACGUAGGCGGAUAUUUAAGUCGGGGGUGAAAUCCCGGGGCUCAACCCCGGAACUGCCUUCGAUACUGGGUAUCUUGAGUUCGGAAGAGGUGAGUGGAAUUGCGAGUGUAGAGGUGAAAUUCGUAGAUAUUCGCAGGAACACCAGUGGCGAAGGCGGCGCACUGGGCCGAUACUGACGCUGAGGUGCGAAAGCGUGGGGAGCAAACAGG